GCUAGACCUCAGUCCUCCGCCGAGAGAGCUCAGGCAGUCGGCUACACCCCGCUGGAGAGCGGAAAGAUGCGUCUUGUCUCCUAGCAACAAGGACCUUCGCUAAGACCCGGCCCGUGAGAAAUCCCGAGAUGAGAAAAGUGAUGCUCAGAGGCGUAUAGCUUAAGGCUACGUCAGAAGCUGGUCAGUUUGGAUGGCCUGAGGGGGCAGCGUUAACAUCAGGAAAGUCAACCAUCUUCACAAGGAAGGAUGCAGAGGCUCCUGUUUCCAUGGUGAUGGGGCGGCUGGUACACCGCACGCCAAGUGUAGGCGACGCAGAGAAUUGGCUCAGGAUCGAAAGGUGUCGGCCGCAGUCACAGCCGGGCCCAGGGAAAAGGGAUCGAUGAGAAACCAAGUUCUGAGAGACAGGACCUCCCUGGAGCUCCAGAAGCGCCUCCACAGCCGCCUCGCCCUUGCCUCCCGAACUGCUAACCUGGGAGACCCGAACCCUGGGAAGGAAGCACAACCGCCCCUGACUCAAGCCAGGUCGCAGGCUGGAAGCCUGUCCGGUGGGGGGGAUCCGUCCCUUCCACCGCCCCUCUGCCUCGCAGCCCUCGGUUCCCGCGUGGGGACCUCAGUCUCGGAGCAUCCUGGCUCUCCCCGGGAUCGAUGGAGCUGAGCAGCCGGCAGGGGGCAGAGUCUCCCUCUGCGGAAGGCGCUCACACCCCCAGCUUCAGGGUUAUUUUCAGCUGACAAGCUGCAAAGGCGCAGUCGGAGGAUUUCAGGACAGGGGAUGGGUGCUGGCAGGGGCUGGGAGCCACCGAAGUGUGGGUCCUAAGCAGUGGGCCCCGCUGAGAAGAUGGUCUUUGGGUCACAGGAUAGGGGGCUGGAAUAACCAAUGCUUGACUUCUCCCUCAGUCUUCUUUUGCUAUUUUUGUUUUUGGUUAUUGGCCGGGUUUUUCCCCCAUUGAAAAAAACAUCCUAAUGAGGGGGAGGCUUACUCAUUCAUUCAGUAAGUGUUUAUUGAGUAUACAACUGUUACAGAUAGAUACAGCCAAUCAGAACAAAAAUAGAAUGCACAAGGAUUCUUAACCUCGGCGUGUGUGUGUGUGUGUGUGUGUGUGUGUGUGUGUGUGUGUGCACCACAUAUGAGCCUUGGACGACAGAAGAGGACAUCAG